rnacentral:lncRNA from 1 species
AUCUGUUUCCCAAAUCAGAGUUGGUGGACAGAGCAACGACAAUCCAGCUGGAGCGAUGGUUCAGGGUAUGUGUUCACCCAGCCCUUUCGGGACGUCGCGUGCCUGCACUGUGGGAACGCAAGUGGACAGCCGGUCCCUGCCGUGGGCGCUAGGGGCCAGUGCUCAGCGCGGGAAUAUUCCCACCGCCACGUGCGCGCGGACAGCGGGUACUCUGAGGAGGGGCCUGCAGCCCGGCUGGGGCUGGGAAGACUUCCUGGACGAGGGGCAGCCCGGGUUUUCCUCAAGGAUGAGCUGGAGUCGGCCCCCGGCGCAGGAGCAAGGUGCCGGGAGAGGGCCGAGCUGGGUGAGAGGCCUGGGCCAGCCAACAGCGGCCUUCGAGCAGGGACCGCGCAGCUCCGUGUCCCCGCAGUGGGAGGGCGGCGGGCAGGGGCCGGGCGAGUUAGGCCGCAAGCAUCUGCUGGGGCCGUCGCAGCACCAUCCCACAGACCGCCACUGAAUCAACAGCAGCCAGUUCUCCCUGGGCUCUGGAGGCCGGAAGUCCAAGAGCAGGCAUCAGGAUGGGUCCCUCCUUGGCCUGCAGGUGGCGGCCUUCUGGCUGCGUCCUCCCAGGGCCUUCCUUCUGGGCAGCACACCUGGCUGCUCUGUGUCCUGAUCCCCUCUUCUGAGGACACCAGGCAGAUUGGAUUGGGGCCAGAUACCUUCCAAGAGGCAGUCCUGGACAAAGGCAGCAGGAUAUGCCGGGCUGGCAGAGGCAAGGGAUCAGUGGACAACCAAAUGGCCUUCAAACCAACAGAGGAUGGGUAAAUUUGGAUGCAUGGAUUUGGGGGCUUUAUGAAUUUAGACAUUUUAAAAUAUGUAUUAAUAAGUAACAGAAACUUACUUCUUUAGGCACAAUAUUAGAAAUAUUGGAAGUAUAUUAGAAGUUAUUAAACCAACUGGAGAUCUUUUUAGCCAAUGUUUUAAACACAUUUAUGACUAGAGCAAAAACUUACUUUCAAAAUAUUGUGAUAGUUGUAUGUCGACAUAACUUAGGAAAAUUGCACACAUUUUUAUCUUAUGUAGUUUAAAACUAUUCUUCUGUGAAGAGGUGCAUAAGUUUCACCCGAUUGCCAAAGAGUCCAUGGCUCAAAAAAGGUUAAGAAUCCCUGUUUAACCAAAGCCACGGAUGAGAUGAGGUGGAGUCCAAGGAGAGGAAACUAAAGACUCAUUUUACCCUCUAGUAAUAAGACGUUUGGGGGCUAGGACUUCAGAAAAGUUCAACUGCUCUGGAGCAACUGGAAAGUUCAGGGCUUCAAAAUAUAAUACAGGUAAAGAAAAGCAAAGUAUUGGUAUUCUUCUGAUGACAAAUGUUCUUUGAUUUUCAUCAUCCUUCUGAACACAAGUCACAAGUUUGAAAACCUGUAUAAUGCUGAUCAUCUCAAGUACCCUCUGCCUUCAAUCUUGGGUGUGUUUAUUUGAAACCUAACAAUGUGUGCAAAACCAGGAGAAGGCUGGGGAGUGAGGGAUUUUGCCAAAGUCACACAAGUGUGUGUGCUGUUUUUGCUCCAAGCUGAUUAGAUGCUUCUAUUGUUAUGUAUCAAGACAUCUCAGGGUGUGGUUGCCCUAAAGGAGACAGUGAGGCAAGAAGGUGACGGCAUUUGUAGUUACCAGCCACCCUCCUGCUCUUUUAGGAUGUUUGUGUAUACACACCCUAAUGCCAGCACAUGAGGAUGUGGAGACCAGGCCCAGGAGGAAUCCAUCCUCACAAACACUGAAGAACCCAGUUAUCCGUGUGCUGAUCCACACGCUGCCGGCAAAGCCUGUAGCUGGCAGGCAUCAUGCCACAUUUCUCUCCCAAAGCAACCCUAUAAACGUAAUCCUUGAACAGGGCCUUCUCAUUUCCAGCAGCUCUUUCAUAAUUUUGUGCUUUCUACUUUUUGAAAUGUUGUCUUGGCUCAUCCCACUUGAACCUACAGCCGUCAGCUUCUUUAAUAGGGGUGUCUAUAAAGAACUGCCCUAAAAUAUGCUUUUCCAGUGCACUUAAUGUCUUUCCAAUUACAUCCAGAUGUGAAAAGCUGAAGGAACAGUUCUCAGGACUGGACAAGAUGACAUAAAUCUUGCAGCUGACAGAGAUCCCACUGAGCUCAGUUGGGGAAACUCACAGAGAACUUGUUUGGGGCCAGAAAAGCGGCUGGGUAUAAAGACAGAUGUGUACACUCGGAUUCAAAAAAAUAUGUUAAGAGAGAGAAAGCGUUCCUCUAACACAGUGCCUACAAAUACGGCUGAGGCAUGAAGCAGGCUGGGCUACCCACCCCCCGCAACUAGAUCAAAGGAGGUGAUUGAAAAGGCUUUGGAGAGAGCAGACCAACUCAGCGAUGCUUCCUGGUCUCCUUAAUUGCUCUUCUCAGGGUGAGGAAGGUGGGCACUCCUGACAGACCUUGCUGGAGGAGAACAAGGGCUGUUUGUGCAGCUGAGGACUUGGCUUUUAUUUUUUUAAUGAUUAGGUUUUGUACACUUUCCAGAAUGUUCCUUUUAAAAAUAGUAUAUUCUUCCUUCUCUUCUCCAGAUGCUAGGAAGUGCAGGUUCAACCCAAACCGUGUCUAUUUCAAAGGGACACAAAAACCCAGAGCUGGAGUUAAAGGAGCUUGGCGGCAUGCUGCCCAAGGACUGAAGGCUUUGGUUUUCUUUUACCUUCCCAAGUAAUUUUGUUUUUGAAGGUUGGAAAACAAAUUCCACAGAAGGAUCAGCUUCUGCAGGAUACAGCCUGGAGCAAGGCAGAGCAAGGAGCUGGGUGCAGGGCUGAGCCAGGACCAGGGCAGACACGGUCUCUCAGACAGGUGCCGCCCUAGACAGACAGCUCCUGAUGCAUCCAGGGGCUCGCUUUCUAGUAUUUCAGGUUCCCAGGGGAGGAACUGAGGGUUUUCUUUUUUCUCUCAAGAGGCUCCCUCCAAUUAUCCACUGCCUCUUCUCUAACUCUUCUCUCUCUCUCUCCCUAUCAUGACACCCGGCUCUGUGACAGAGGACAGAGGGGCUUCGCUGCACACUUGCUCUGAGGAGGCUCAAAGGGCCCAUUUGCAGCACCUGGUCAGGGCCACUCUUGCAAACCUCGCCUGGGCCCAGCCCACCCAGUGCUGGAGAAGCCCUGUCCUCCUUGGCUGAGACCUUUUGCUUUUCCUGCCAUGCAUCCCACGGAAGGCCUGAUGAUGGUGCAUUUCAUUGACAAUUUUAUGACCCUGGCCAUUUCCCCCUGUAACAAUAUCUUUAAAAUGGCUCCUUGUCUUCAGGUGGGUGAGAGCAGGGCUGUGCUCUUCCCUCUCCUUCCUGUCACUAAACGUCUGUGCCUUAAGCAAUAACACUGAAGUAGUAGAAUGUGAGUUCUGGAUCACAGAACUGCACACAUAACUUUGACCACUUUUGUUUCCAUCCUGAGAUAAAAGCCAAAACGUAUUUUUUAAAUUUAUGUUUUACAUCUUUUAGUUGGGCAUUGCUUUUCUGAGUGAAUUCUAAGUAUUGUAAAGAUGUCUUCAAAGACAGACAACCUCGACUCUAAAGAAAUUAAUGCAAAUUACAGUGUAUCUCAGUGACAUGCUAAUUUAUAGCACCGUAAAGGUACAGUUCAAAGCUCCAACGAGCCAGAAGAAAGUCGGUGGAUUGAUGGUUUGCAGUAAGAAAGGUUUAGAAACAAUAAAAUGUAACUAGGAUUUUAGUUUGGAAAUGAACUAGGGGUCCAUUUGUUCCACGUUACUGAGUUUUUAAUUUAGAUCUGCUGUUAAAACCUAAUGCAUUUUGUAUUUGUGGCUAGUAAAUGACUCUGACUCGGUGUCUUCAAGGAGACAUUGAAAAAGAACAGGAACAAUUCUCAAAGAUAAGACUUGCAGCUGCAGGUUUCUUAACAAAAAAUAUAAUCUCUAGAUCUCACCUCUAAAAUGUGAUUACAAAGCAGAAAAGUAAAAUGAAACAAAGAAAC